rnacentral:rRNA from 1 species
CUUGGUGACGAGUGGCGAACUGGUGAGUAACACGUGGGUAACCUGCCCCGAAGCGGGGGAUAACAUUUGGAAACAGGUGCUAAUACCGCAUAACAACCAAAACCACCUGGUUUUGGUUUGAAAGACGGCUUCGGCUGUCACUUUGGGAUGGACCCGCGGCGUAUUAGCUAGUUGGUGAGGUAACGGCUCACUAAGGCGAUGAUACGUAGCCGACCUGAGAGGGUAAUCGGCCACAUUGGGACUGAGACACGGCCCAAACUCCUACGGGAGGCAGCAGUAGGGAAUCUUCCACAAUGGACGCAAGUCUGAUGGAGCAACGCCGCGUGAGUGAUGAAGGGUUUCGGCUCGUAAAACUCUGUUGUUGGAGAAGAACGGGUGUCAGAGUAACUGUUGACAUCGUGACGGUAUCCAACCAGAAAGCCACGGCUAACUACGUGCCAGCAGCCGCGGUAAUACGUAGGUGGCAAGCGUUGUCCGGAUUUAUUGGGCGUAAAGCGAGCGCAGGCGGUUUUUUAGGUCUGAUGUGAAAGCCUUCGGCUUAACCGGAGAAGUGCAUCGGAAACCGGGAGACUUGAGUGCAGAAGAGGACAGUGGAACUCCAUGUGUAGCGGUGAAAUGCGUAGAUAUAUGGAAGAACACCAGUGGCGAAGGCGGCUGUCUGGUCUGCAACUGACGCUGAGGCUCGAAAGCAUGGGUAGCGAACAGGAUUAGAUACCCUGGUAGUCCAUGCCGUAAACGAUGAGUGCUAAGUGUUGGAGGGUUUCCGCCCUUCAGUGCUGCAGCUAACGCAUUAA